rnacentral:rRNA from 1 species
AGGCUGUUUGGUUGAAACCUCCGGGGCGUUUGGAUGGGUCUGCGGCUGAUUAGGUUGUUGCCGGUGUAACGUACCGUCAAGCCUGUAAUCAGUACGGGUUGUGGGAGCAAGAGCCCGGAGAUGGAUUCUGAGACACGAAUCCAGGCCCUACGGGGCGCAGCAGGCGCGAAAACUCUACAAUGCAGGCAACUGCGAUAGGGGAACAUCGAGUGAUCCUCAUAUUGGGGGUCUGUCCACCCGCCUAAAAAGCGGGUGUUAGCAAGGGCCGGGCAAGACCGGUGCCAGCCGCCGCGGUAAUACCGGCGGCUCGAGUGGUGGCCGAUAUUAUUGAGUCUAAAGGGUCCGUAGCCGGCUUUGCAAGUCUCUCGGGAAAUCCAGCGGCUUAACCGUUGGGCUGUCGGGGGGUACUACAUUGCUUGGGACUGGGAGAGGUAGGAGGUACUCAGGGGGUAGGAGUGAAAUCCUGUAAUCCUUUGGGGACCACCGGUGGCGAAGGCGUCCUACCAGAACAGGUCCGACGGUGAGGGACGAAAGCUAGGGGCACGAACCGGAUUAGAUACCCGGGUAGUCCUAGCCGUAAACGAUGCUCGCUAGGUGUCACAACAGUCGUGAACUGUUGUGGUGCCGUAGGGAAGCCGUGA